rnacentral:rRNA from 1 species
UGGGCGUAAGGGCUCGCAGGCGGUUUCUUAAGUCUGAUGUGAAAGCCCCCGGCUCAACCGGGGAGGGUCAUUGGAAACUGGGAAACUUGAGUGCAGAAGAGGAGAGUGGAAUUCCACGUGUAGCGGUGAAAUGCGUAGAGAUGUGGAGGAACACCAGUGGCGAAGGCGACUCUCUGGUCUGUAACUGACGCUGAGGAGCGAAAGCGUGGGGAGCGAACAGGAUUAGAUACCCUGGUAGUCCACGCCGUAAACGAUGAGUGCUAAGUGUUAGGGGGUUUCCGCCCCUUAGUGCUGCAGCUAACGCAUUAAGCACUCCGCCUGGGGAGUACGGUCGCAAGACUGAAACUCAAAGGAAUUGACGGGGGCCCGCACAAGCGGUGGAGCAUGUGGUUUAAUUCGAAGCAACGCGAAGAACCUUACCAGGUCUUGACAUCCUCUGACAACCCUAGAGAUAGGGCUUUCCCUUCGGGGACAGAGUGACAGGUGGUGCAUGGUUGUCGUCAGCUCGUGUCGUGAGAUGUUGGGUUAAGUCCCGCAACGAGCGCAACCCUUGAUCUUAGUUGCCAGCAUUCAGUUGGGCACUCUAAGGUGACUGCCGGUGACAAACCGGAGGAAGGUGGGGAUGACGUCAAAUCAUCAUGCCCCUUAUGACCUGGGCUACACACGUGCUACAAUGGAC